UCAGGUCAGAAAGCAGGAAC
rnacentral:misc_RNA from 1 species